rnacentral:misc_RNA from 1 species
GAUGAAGAACGCAGCGAAAUGCGAUAAGUAAUGUGAAUUGCAGAAUUCAGCGAAUCAUCGAAUCUUUGAACGCACCUUGCGCCCUUUGGCUAUUCCAGAGGGCAUGCCUGUUUGAGUAUCAUGAACACCUCAACUCUCAUGGUUCUGCCAUGAUGAGCUUGGACUUUGGAGGUCUUGCUGGCCCCUGUGGUCAGCUCCUCUCAAAUGGAUCAGCUUGCCAGUGUUUGGUGGCAUCACAGGUGUGAUAACUAUCUACGCUUGUGGUUUUCCACCAGGUAACCUUCAGUGAUGGAGGUUCGCUGGAGCUCAUAAACGUCUCUCCUCAGCGAGGACAGCUUCUUGAACGUUUGAUCUCAAAUCAGGUAGGGCUACCCGCUGAACUUAAGCAUAUCAAUAAGCGGAGGA